rnacentral:lncRNA from 1 species
GUGACUUAGGCCGUGAACUCAAGCCUCUGUGUUAAGGGGAAGCAGCUUGAAGGAUUCUGCCAUAGCUGGGUGUGCAGGUCUGUUGUCACGGGCACGCGUGCUUCUCUUCUAGAUUCCUCUUCUUUCUGCCCUAUAAUUGCACCUCCAGGUGGCAUGUCACAGAGAACAGACUCUUCCUUCACAGCCAGGUGCCCCGCGGACACGCCCGGGACUGUGUCAGGCCUCCUGGGCUUGCCAGGGUCAGGGGUUGCAUCUGAGCUAGAGGUUUCUGUGGGUCCCCCCUCUUUUCAGGUCUGCUCUUCACAGGCUCACGCUACACAUGCCAUGUUUAUGUUCCCUUGUGGGAGUGUUUUCUUUUCAGAGGAGCAGAGUUUGUCCAAAGAGGGAAAGAGAUGAAACGAUAGGGUUUUUGUUCAGCCCUUGGAGAUGCCGAGCAGGUCUCUGCGGGGACCGAUGCGGGGACGUAUGAGGGAAGGUGUGGGGGGCAGGCUGACCUGUGGUCACCAGGAGGAAGGACACCGCGUGUUCCCCGUCUAAGGGUCCGACCCGAGGCUUAGCUCACCCAGUGCUUCUGCUCCCAAAUACUUUCGCUUUUUUAAUGUUUGAGAAUAAUUCGCCCCCUCCAAAAGCCUGCAGUCCUCAUGACUGCAAAAUAUUAACCAAAAUAUUAUUUUUCUGACUGUUACUCCUUAUAUAAGACCCUCCAGAUCUUUCUCUUCCAUAACAGGGAUCUAAGCUGCCCAUAUUUUUCUCUUAAACACAUGAUUCCUUUUAUUUUUAAUUUUUUUGUCCUUUCCCAGCCUCAGAGCUCUAGGACUUGUCAUUUAAAUGAGCAUUUCUGUUUUAAUGCUUCUCAUCUCUUCACCCCCUUUGCCUUAGCUUCUGACUUUGUAUUUGAAAUGCAAAUCUCUACAUAACAAGUCCAAGGCUGACCUACUUACACAGUUUGUUACUCGCCAUAUAGGCUUCUUGUUACAACUGAGGCAUUUGCAUAUUUGCUGCAUAUGGUUGCAGCCAGCCUGGAUGUUAACAUCUUUCUCCGGAAUGUGUCUGUCUUUCCACAGGGAUCACUGGUCACUGCGGGCUGGGCCUCCCCGCCAGGUGGUGAGACAGGCCCCGUCCCACCAACAGCACACACCCAGUCAGUGCCCUGUCACUGUGUGUGUGUGUGUGUUUGUGUGUGUGUCCACUGGCAUUUCCACCCCGUCCCCACCCCUGGUACCAGCAUCCAUGUGGUUUUUCAGCAGAGCUUUUCAAACCAGGUGCCUUCUCUGUUUUCUGGGAUCUAACCUUCAGAUUUGGAAGAAAGUGAAAAGAGACUUUUUUCACAUCCUCUAAGGAAACAGUAUUGAAAAAAGACAUGACAGCUUCUGGGGCCGUCCUUUUCUCUUAUCGUCGGCCGAGACUGAUCCCGUAUCCUGACCCCCAUGGCCGGUGGUGGACUGUGAGGUGACCCCUGCACAGGGAGGGCGGGUCUGCAUGGUGGCAGUUGGCUGGCUGGGGAGAUCUGGGAGAAUGGUCUGGGGGGAGAUGAGAAGCCGGUGGGUGGGUAGGUGCUUGCACUGCUUGUUCAGCACGAAUAUGUGCUGUGUCUGCUUUCCGGGACUCGAAUCUGCCUGGGGCAGCCACCAACCACCUGACUGUGUGCUGAGGGUCACAUGUGCAUGACCUCAGGUGGGAGCUGAGGUCCUGAAGGUGAGCAGGACAUAGGGCACCAGUCAGCUCACUUUGUUCUGCAAAACAACCCCCCCUCGCCACACACACCCUUGUUAUCCAGAGUGAAGAGCCUGGAAGUAAUGAAUGGAACACAUUUUCUAAAUCCGUGUCUCUCACCCAACAGUGAAGUGGCUCAGGGAAGCCAGCGUCCUGGCCCAGCCGCAGGGUUCAUGGUCUUGGUCAUCAAAGGUGACUCAGGUCCAGAGCACGCAUCUGAUGGCUUCAGCACUUGCCACAUCUGGCCAGAGGGUGGCCUCAGUGUUGUGCCAGCCCCAGAAUGGGGGUGGGGGGUACUUCCUGAGUUGGCCAUGUGAUGGGCUCUCCAGGGUCCUGGGGCCUGCCCGGAAGGUGCCGCCACUGGGUCUGGGCCAGGACGAGCGUCAGGCUGGUGGGGACUCCGGGUAAGCCUUCUCUGUGCGUGUGGGGCUGCCAUCUCUGCGCAGCUCCCCUGCUCUGGGGGGUGACAUCCUGAGAGGAGGUGGCAGGUCACACGCCCUUGUAGGAUGCGAGACUCUGCUCUUAGAGAAGGUGUGUCACUCUCCAGGCAGACCAACAGAAAAGCACACAGGAAGUCUUUGGCUUUAUUAACUUUGGUCUUUUUG